UGCAGUCUGCAACUCGAGUGCAUGAAGCUGGAAUCGCUAGUAAUCGCGGAUCAGAAUGCCGCGGUGAAUACGUUCCCGGGUCCUGUACACACCGCCCGUCACACCAUGGGAGUCGGGAAUGCCCGAAGCCGGUGGCCCGAUCGAGAGAAGGGAGCCGUCGAAGGCAGGCCGGAUGACUGGGGUGAAGUCGUAACAAGGUAAC
rnacentral:rRNA from 1 species